UAUAGCUCUGAACAAAACAAAAGUAGAAACAUGUCACUUUGAAUGAAGAACGUUUUGUAUAUCACUUCGUUUAGAGAAAUGUGCUUCAAAAACUUGGAAGUGUGAGAUAUUUACCUGAAGAGGAUAUUUUCUUCUGACUUUCCGGUGUCGGACUGUCUUGUCUAAAGAAGUUAUUUAUAUCGACUGGGAUUUUUCAUAAGACAGCCAGGGUUUCCCCUGUCAACAAAUAUAGAUCCACUGCAGUAGAAAGCCAGUCCUAGCAGUCCAGAGAAGUAGAGCAAGGAUUUCUUCAGUAUCACGAUGGAUCCCUUGUAAUUCCCAAGCUGCACCAUGACUGAAAAUUUACAGAUUGUGAAAAUUAUGAAAUUAAAAACUAUGUUUGAUAUUUAAGUUUCGGUUCCUGGACACCCACUUACAGUUUCCAUCCAGAGAACUCUGGUGAUUGGAUACAAUAACGCAAGCUUUGUCAUCCUCCAAGUACUUCUGGUUCCUGACUAUGUACUUAGUUCCAAUGAGGUAUGCGCCCAUAAAACAACGAAGCGAGUAUUGGGAAUAUUGAGAAAAAUUGCCAGCUUAAAUUGGCGAUUAAGAGUUUCCCAAAAAAUUGAAUUUUAUCAUAAAAUAUCCAUGUGACAAUUCCGACGACUAGAGAUGAUAAAAUCACAGAAUAUGAAAUUCCAAACACCUCACUGUUCUCCGUUUCACUCAUUCUGCACCUUUAACUCCCCUCCUGUUCCACGUGGGGUGUUUGUUUUCGUUUUUCUAAUGAAUCAUAACUUGUUCUUAUUCCGAAAACGUAACUAUGUGUGCAGUGGCCGAUAAGCCGGGUACGGUACAAUGUACACCGAGUCAGUCCCUCAACUCAUGAAGGGGUUAAUAAACAACGACACAGCCACCACUGAAUACGGAAGAGGUGUUACAUGUGUUUCUUACAGCGUGUAUUGCCCAAGGGUUACAUGUAGGCUGCCUAUGAGUUACUUCUCUAUGUAUGAAUAAAUAUUAUUAGCUU
rnacentral:misc_RNA from 1 species